CCUGUGUGCACAAGAACCUGUACAUUCCUGCCACGCAGAAGAGGGUCCUUCCUAGCGAUCGACCAACUAUGCCCUCACUGCAAGUUCUUCCGACAGUGGAAGAGUCAGCCAGUUAUUGGGAGCACCCCUGUGGGCAACCUUCAGCUGUCUGCUGCCAUUUACUUUUGUGGAGCUUCAUUUUCAAAGAUGAAAAAGGUAUCAUUGUGCUCAUUGUCCCCUGCAGGAAGUGUUUGUCUUUCACUGAUGACUUCACAACUGAUCUACUUUUAAUUAUUUUAUAGAUAUUUGAUGCAAUGCAGCUGAGAACACACACGUAUGAUGCCUUCAACGGAAGACAGCCAAGGGGAAACUAAUGUACAGGCUUGUGUUUCCAAAGGCCAAACGAUUUGCUAUGUCUUUAACCUGAUAAGACUGGUGUUCGAAGAGAUCGUCCAUGACUCCCUUCGUUAUGUGGAUGCCGUCCAGCAGAUUCCUGUGCCCCAAGACUUGUGUGCUCAACUUCCCAGACCUUCCAGGGAGGAUGCUGUCGCUGAGCAUGUGUCACGGUUCAGUCGAGGGGGGGUCUGAACCCGACAUACUGCCCUGAUGUUUCCGGAAACUCCCUCCGUAUGCGCAGCACCACACAAGAGGGGAUCACAACACGGACACUUCGCCCAAGGAAACCCCAGCACCAGCUCACGAAAGAUCUGUAGGCCAAGUGUCUGCAUUGCCUUCAGAGAAAUCAGAGUGGAAAGGCACACUUUUUUACUAUUUAUUUUUUGAAUAUUUUAUAUUUUUGAGUAUAGCACUGUAUGAUUGUGUUGAAACAAAAUAAAGUUUGUCAUUUUAC